GAUGAAGAACGUAGCGAAAUGCGAUAAGUAAUGUGAAUUGCAGAAUUCAGUGAAUCAUCGAAUCUUUGAACGCACAUUGCGCCCGCCAGUAUUCUGGCGGGCAUGCCUGUUCGAGCGUCAUUUCAACCAUCAAGCCCCCGGCUUGUGUUGGGGACCUGCGGCUGCCGCAGGCCCUGAAAACCAGUGGCGGGCUCGCUGUCACACCGAGCGUAGUAGAUUCUCAUCUCGCUCAGGGCGUGCUGCGGGUUCCGGCCGUAAAAAGCCUUAUUUACCCAAGGUUGACCUCGGAUCAGGUAGGAAGACCCGCUGAACUUAAGCAUAUCAAUAAGCGGAGGA
rnacentral:misc_RNA from 1 species